GUUUAUGGGCGGAUCAGAUUCACAGCUUGGGAGUCGUUGAAGUAAAACAAAAACACCCGCCCCAUUGGUCCGAAUGGAAUAGCAAACACACAAGUUGUGAGAUCUACACAGAAAUCUAGGCAGAACGUGAUUGCGAUGGUGAGAACCACAGAAUUUUAGAACGCUUGUCACCAUCAUGGCUGAAGGUGGCGAUUGUGGAAGGGAUGCAGUGACAUCUACAUCAAGUAAACAUAAAGGUGGGAAAUUAACUCAAGUGGGCAAGGUCCUCAAAAGACUUUGGCCAGGCACCAAAUCAAAGAAAGAUGGCCAGAACACAGGAACAACGACAGAAAAGCAAAGUCGGAUUGAGAGUAGAACCUCAAUGG